GACGAACGCUGGCGGCAUGCCUAACACAUGCAAGUCGAACGAGACCUUCGGGUCUAGUUGCGCACGGGUGCGUAACGCCUGGUAACCUGCCUUUAGGUUCGGAAUAACUCAGAGAAAUUUGAGCUAAUACCGGAGGAUGUCUUCGGACCAAAGAUUUCUCGCCUUUAGAUGGGCCCGCGUUGGAUUAGCUAGUUGGUGGGGUACAGGCCUACCAAGGCGACGAUCCAUAGCUGGUCUGAGAGGAUGAUCAGCCACACUGGGACUGAGACACGGCCCAGACUCGGACGGGAGGCAGCAGUGGGGAAUAUUGGACACUGGGCGCAAGUGUGACACAGCCAUGCCGGGUGAGUGAUGAAGGGCUUAGUGUUGUAAAUCUGUUUUAGACGAGAUGAUAAUGACAGUAUCGGGAGAAGAAGCACCGGCUAACUCCGUG
rnacentral:rRNA from 1 species